UUGAAGUUGCCAAUGAAUAAAUAUAUAUAUAUCUAAUUGAUAGUGACAUAUCUAUGAAUGAACAUUCGCACAAUGUAGCUGUGAAACACAUGAUGAAGUGGCGGUUUUCCUUGAUGCUGGUUCGCAAACAAGAGGAUGUGGUAGGAUGUAUGCCAACUUUUCAAGUAAUGAUACUAUGAUUGGCGUAAACAUGGGCAAAGUACUAUGCUAUGAUGACGAUUCAAUAAAUACAGCUUUUGCGAGAGGACAGUGAAGAAAGAGGACCCCAAUUAGCACAACAGCAAGAAAAAAAAAAACCUGGAGCGAAUCCUCCAAAAAAAUGGGAUCGGGCAUGGUAGAGAGAAUUCGUCAUGAGUUGAAAACGAGGGGAUUCCAUGUCAAAACAAAAUACAUGUAUAACAAUUAAUGACACUUCCACUAUUUCCAUGUUACAAAGAUGGAUAUCCCUCCCCCAAAAACACCGUACGGUUUCUCCAUGGAUCAGUGAAUGUGGGCGGAGCUUAUCCAUGGUCACUGUUAUUUACCUGGCCAAGAGAUCAGUUGUGUAUAUUUUUUAUGAUAUACACAGAAGCUGACACAUAGCUAGUCUAUCCCCCCCUUCUCUCUCCCUUACUCUCAAUCAUGGACUAAAUGAGUAAUUAUUGUCAUACGUAUGCAACACUAUUGUCAUGCCAUAGUAUUUCAUCUAUAUUUAUAAUUGCUACAGUCUUACACACCCCCCCCCUCUCUCUCUCUCUUUAUAAAUAUAAAGCCGUGAUAAAUUACGAAUAGAAAUAUCUCAAUAACUUAUUUAUGCUCUUUUACUAUUGUUUGAUUUUUGAUUGUAUAAUUUAUAAUCCAUGUGGUAUCCCAAACAGAAGCAUUAUUUUUUUUUUACUACUGUAACAGUUUUACGCAUGAGCAAUAUAACCAUUACAUCUUGAUAUGCUGCGCCAAUAAAUAAUUGUUCCUUUUUUAUAAAUAUAAAGUCAUAAUAAAUCAUUAAUAGAAAAUAU